rnacentral:rRNA from 1 species
ACGAACGCUGGCGGCAUGCCUAACACAUGCAAGUCGAACGAGACCUUCGGGUCUAGUGGCGCACGGGUGCGUAACGCGUGGGAACCUGCCCUUAGGUUCGGAAUAACUCCCCGAAAGGGGUGCUAAUACCGGAUAAUGUCUUCGGACCAAAGAUUUAUCGCCUUUGGAUGGGCCCGCGUUGGAUUAGCUAGUUGGUAGGGUAAAAGCGUACCAAGGCGACGAUCCAUAGCUGGUCUGAGAGGAUGAUCAGCCACACUGGGACUGAGACACGGCCCAGACUCCUACGGGAGGCAGCAGUGGGGAAUAUUGGACAAUGGGCGAAAGCCUGAUCCAGCAAUGCCGCGUGAGUGAUGAAGGCCUUAGGGUUGUAAAGCUCUUUUACCCGGGAUGAUAAUGACAGUACCGGGAGAAUAAGCUCCGGCUAACUCCGUG